rnacentral:rRNA from 1 species
GACGAACGCUGGCGGCGUGCCUAAUACAUGCAAGUAGAACGCUGAAGGAGGAGCUUGCUCUUCUGGAUGAGUUGCGAACGGGUGAGUAACGCGUAGGUAACCUGCCUGGUAGCGGGGGAUAACUAUUGGAAACGAUAGCUAAUACCGCAUAAGAGUAGAUGUUGCAUGACAUUUGCUUAAAAGGUGCAAUUGCAUCACUACCAGAUGGACCUGCGUUGUAUUAGCUAGUUGGUGGGGUAACGGCUCACCAAGGCGACGAUACAUAGCCGACCUGAGAGGGUGAUCGGCCAAACUGGGACUGAGACACGGCCCAGACUCCUACGGGAGGCAGCAGUAGGGAAUCUUCGGCAAUGGACGGAAGUCUGACCGAGCAACGCCGCGUGAGUGAAGAAGGUUUUCGGAUCGUAAAGCUCUGUUGUAAGAGAAGAACGAGUGUGAGAGUGGAAAGUGCACACUGUGACGGUAUCUUACGAGAAAGGGACGGCUAACUACGUG